rnacentral:rRNA from 1 species
CUCUGCGAGCCGUAAGAUGAGUGCUAAGCGUUAGGAGGGUUUCCGCGCUUUAGUGCUGAAGUUAACGCAUUAAGCACUCCGCCUGGGGAGUACGGCCGCAAGGCUGAAACUCAAAGGAAUUGACGGGGGCCCGCACAAGCGGGGGAGCAUGUGGUUUAAUUCGAAGCAACGCGAAGAACCUUACCAGGUCUUGACAUCCUCUGAAAACCCUAAAGAUAGGUGCUUCUCCUUCGGGAGCAGACGUGACAGGUGCGUGCAUGGUUGUCGUCAGCUCGUGUCGUGAGAUGUUGGGUUAAGUCCCGCAACGAGCGCAACCCUUGAUCUUAUUUGCCAUCAUUAAGUUGGGCACUCUAAGGUGACUGCCGGUGACAAACCGGAGGAAGGUGGGGAUGACGUCAAAUCAUCAUGCCCCUUAUGACCUGGGCUACACACGUGCUACAAUGGACGGUACAAAGAGCUGCAAGACCGCGAGGUGGAGCUAAUCUCAUAAAACCGUUCUCAGUUCGGAUUGUAGGCUGCAACUCGCCUACAUGAAGCUGGAAUCGCUAGUAAUCGCGGAUCAGCAUGCCGCGGUGAAUACGUUCCCGGGCCUUGUACACACCGCCCGUCACACCACGAGAGUUUGUAACACCCGAAGUCGGUGGGGUAACCUUUUUGGAGCCAGCCGCCUAAGGUGGGACAGAUGAUUGGGGUGAAGUCGUACAAAGGGAAACCGGAACUCUUUGCAGU